rnacentral:sRNA from 1 species
AGUGCACGAAGACGCUGUCGGGAGAGCCCAGGAUUCAACACGGGCCUUGAGAAAUGUGAGUAAGGGUGAUGGGCACCCAGGUGGGAGGGAGAAGCCAGGGGAGAAGCCAGGGCAUGGGAGGCAAUUCAGGGAGACAGGAACACCCUUCUCUCUUCACACACCUCAUCAGUUCCACUGUGCACACGCGUGGACACACACAACACACGCCCCAUCCCUCCUCCUAGGGAUCAGAGGAGACUUCAUACAUAGAUGCUCAUGCCAUGGUCCUUUCUUCCCUCUGGGCUCUUGGCAGGGAGCAGCGAGAGGAGGGGACCCCUUGCCCAGGACGGGACACUCUGUGCCUGUGUCCCCCACUCCACAGAUGGUUUCUCCCAGACGCUCUUGCUGAACCUGUGGGAGCCCUUUCAGAGACCCACGGGUGGAAACCCUCACCCUCCAUUAACUGGUCCCAAGCCAGUCCUAUUCCUGGAAGGGGAGGGGAGGGAUGCGUCCGGGCAGGGGAGGAGGCUGGAAAGGGAGUGUGAGGGGAGUGUGGUGGCCUCUGGACUGGACACUGCCCUGGAGAGUGACCCGAUGCAGCAGCUGCACAGGCCAUCCUCCCCACCCACGCACCCCUGCUGAGAACAUGUCUGUGAGGUUCAGGGUGGGCAGAGAGGAGAAUGCCCAGUGGUAUGGCCGUCUCAUCCCCUGCCACAGCCACUGCCCACAUGGCAAGAGUGCUGAACCCCUCCAGCUCCAGAUACUCUCUUUUGUUUUGGCAGGUGGCUCUUGUACCUCCUGGUGCCGGCCCUGUUCUGCAGGGCAGGAGGCUCCAUUCCCAUCCCUCAGAAGUUAUUUGGGGAGGUGACUUCCCCUCUGUUCCCCAAGCCUUACCCCAACAACUUUGAAACAACCACUGUGAUCACAGUCCCCACGGGAUACAGGGUGAAGCUCGUCUUCCAGCAGUUUGACCUGGAGCCUUCUGAAGGCUGCUUCUAUGAUUAUGUCAAGAUCUCUGCUGAUAAGAAAAGCCUGGGGAGGUUCUGUGGGCAACUGGGUUCUCCACUGGGCAACCCCCCGGGAAAGAAGGAAUUUAUGUCCCAAGGGAACAAGAUGCUGCUGACCUUCCACACAGACUUCUCCAACGAGGAGAAUGGGACCAUCAUGUUCUACAAGGGCUUCCUGGCCUACUACCAAGCUGUGGACCUUGAUGAAUGUGCUUCCCGGAGCAAAUCAGGGGAGGAGGAUCCCCAGCCCCAGUGCCAGCACCUGUGUCACAACUACGUUGGAGGCUACUUCUGUUCCUGCCGUCCAGGCUAUGAGCUUCAGAAAGACAGGCAUUCCUGCCAGGCUGAGUGCAGCAGCGAGCUGUACACGGAGGCAUCAGGCUACAUCUCCAGCCUGGAGUACCCUCGGUCCUACCCCCCUGACCUGCGCUGCAACUACAGCAUCCGGGUGGAGCGGGGCCUCACCCUGCAUCUCAAGUUCCUGGAGCCUUUUGAUAUUGAUGACCACCAGCAAGUACACUGCCCCUAUGACCAGCUACAGGUACAGCCGUCCUACCCCUGAAAGACCCCUUCCUCCCCUUCUGUCUGCACUUGGCUCCUCUUGUCCCAACUUCCUCCUGGAUCCCCUGGCCAGCUGGGGCAGGAACGGCCAACAUCACCCAUGGGCUGGGUAAGUUCCCACACAACUAGAAUUGGGUCAUGGGGAUCCCUUUUCACCUUCCCCUGAAAACACACAUAAGGCAGGAUUUCAUCACCACCACCACCACCCUGGCCACCAGGCUCCUACCCAGUUGGCCCUGUGUAAAAACAUCCAAGCUGAAAAAAAAAAAACCCUCCUCCCCUACUAGAUCUAUGCCAACGGGAAGAACAUUGGCGAGUUCUGUGGGAAGCAAAGGCCCCCCGACCUUGACACCAGCAGCAAUGCUGUGGAUCUGCUGUUCUUCACAGAUGAGUCGGGGGACAGCCGGGGCUGGAAGCUGCGCUACACCACCGAGAUCAUCAAGUGCCCCCAGCCCAAGACCCUAGACGAGUUCACCAUCAUCCAGAACCUGCAGCCUCAGUACCAGUUCCGUGACUACUUCAUUGCUACCUGCAAGCAAGGCUACCAGCUCAUAGAGGGGAAACAGGUGCUGCAUUCCUUCACAGCUGUCUGCCAGGAUGAUGGCACGUGGCAUCGUGCCAUGCCCAGAUGCAAGAUCAAGGACUGUGGGCAGCCCCGAAACCUGCCUAAUGGUGACUUCCGUUAUACCACCACAAUGGGAGUGAACACCUACAAGGCCCGUAUCCAGUACUACUGCCAUGAGCCAUAUUACAAGAUGCAGACCAGAGCUGGCAGCAGGGAGUCUGAGCAAGGGGUGUACACCUGCACAGCACAGGGCAUUUGGAAGAAUGAACAGAAGGGAGAGAAGAUUCCUCGGUGCUUGCCAGUGUGUGGGAAGCCCGUGAACCCCGUGGAACAGAGGCAGCGCAUCAUCGGAGGGCAAAAAGCCAAGAUGGGCAACUUCCCCUGGCAGGUGUUCACCAACAUCCACGGGCGCGGGGGCGGGGCCCUGCUGGGCGACCGCUGGAUCCUCACAGCUGCCCACACCCUGUAUCCCAAGGAACACGAAGCGCAAAGCAACGCCUCUUUGGAUGUGUUCCUGGGCCACACAAAUGUGGAAGAGCUCAUGAAGCUAGGAAAUCACCCCAUCCGCAGGGUCAGCGUCCACCCGGACUACCGUCAGGAUGAGUCCUACAAUUUUGAGGGGGACAUCGCCCUGCUGGAGCUGGAAAAUAGUGUCACCCUGGGUCCCAACCUCCUCCCCAUCUGCCUCCCUGACAACGAGACCUUCUACGACCUGGGCUUGAUGGGCUAUGUCAGUGGCUUCGGGGUCAUGGAGGAGAAGAUUGCUCAUGACCUCAGGUUUGUCCGUCUGCCCGUAGCUAAUCCACAGGCCUGUGAGAACUGGCUCCGGGGAAAGAAUAGGAUGGAUGUGUUCUCUCAAAACAUGUUCUGUGCUGGACACCCAUCUCUAAAGCAGGACGCCUGCCAGGGGGAUAGUGGGGGCGUUUUUGCAGUAAGGGACCCGAACACUGAUCGCUGGGUGGCCACGGGCAUCGUGUCCUGGGGCAUCGGGUGCAGCAGGGGCUAUGGCUUCUACACCAAAGUGCUCAACUACGUGGACUGGAUCAAGAAAGAGAUGGAGGAGGAGGACUGAGCCCAGAAUUCACUAGGUUCGAAUCCAGAGAGCGGUGUGGAAAAAAAAAACAAAAAACAACUGACCAGUUGUUGAUAACCACUAAGAGUCUCUAUUAAAAUUACUGAUGCAGAAAGACCGUGUGUGAAAUUCUCUUUCCUGUAGUCCCAUUGAUGUACUUUACCUGAAACAACCCAAAGGGCCCCUUUCUUUCUUCUGAGGAUUGCAGAGGAUAUAGUUAUCAAUCUCUAGUUGUCACUUUCCUCUUCCACUUUGAUACCAUUGGGUCAUUGAAUAUAACUUUUUCCAAAUAAAGUUUUAUGAGAAAUGCCAGUGUG